rnacentral:tRNA from 1 species
GCUUAAAUAGUUUAAUAUAAAUGUUAGUUUGUGGUACUGAAGAUGUAAAUUGUUUUGAUUUACUUUAAGCU